rnacentral:rRNA from 1 species
AUUCCAGCUCCAAUAGCGUAUAUUAAAGUUGUUGCAGUUAAAACGCUCGUAGUCGGAUUUCGGGGCGGGCCGACCGGUCUGCCGAUGGGUAUGCACUGGCCGGCGCGUCCUUCCACCCGGAGACCGCGCCUACUCUUAACUGAGCGGGCGCGGGAGACGGGUCUUUUACUUUGAAAAAAUCAGAGUGUUUCAAGCAGGCAGUCGCUCUUGCAUGGAUUAGCAUGGGAUAAUGAAAUAGGACUCUGGUGCUAUUUUGUUGGUUUCUAGAGCUGAGGUAAUGAUUGAUAGGGAUAGUUGGGGGCAUUCGUAUUUAACUGUCAGAGGUGAAAUUCUUGGAUUUGUUAAAGACGGGCUACCGCGAAAGCAUUUGCCAAGGAUGUUUUCAUCG